rnacentral:rRNA from 1 species
GGUUGUAAACUGCUUUUGUNCGGNGCGAAAAGGCUCUCUCUAAUACAGGGGGCUCCUGACGGUACCGUAAGAAUAAGCACCGGCUAACUACGUGCCAGCAGCCGCGGUAAUACGUAGGGUGCCCGCCUUNUNCUUAAUUANUGGGCCNCAAGCCCGCGCAGGCNGUUUUNUAAGACAGGCGUGAAAUCCCCGGGCUCAACCUGGGAAUGGCGCUUGUGACUGCAAAGCUGGAGNGCGGNAGAGGGGGAUGGAAUUCCNCGUGUAGCAGUGAAAUGCGUAGAUAUGCGGGAGGAACCCCCNAUGGCGAAGGCAAUCCCCUGGGCCUGCACUGACGCUCAUGCACGAAACGGUGGGGGGCAAACAGGAUUAGAUACCCUGGUAGUCCNCGCCC